ACAUUAAAAAACUGUUAAAAAAAAGAAUUUAAGUGCAGCUAGUUUACUGGAAAGGUGAUUUCAGGACACAUCUGACAGAGAGAGUGAGGAAGUGAGUCAGGGAAGGAAAGGCAGCCAAGACAAGGUGCAUAAUCAGGCAGGUUACCUCCAGGGACACCUGCAGCUCAUUCCCACCAGGGAACUCUGGGAACCAGUAGAGAGCAUGUGCCUCAGAUUUAUCCCACCUGAGAGGUGAGGGAGUUGGGGUAUUUUUACAGAGCCUGCUUCUAGGGGCUUGCUACUUCAAACAGAGUUGGCUCUGUGGUCAGAGAGUCUUCGGACAAAACCUUGCAGGUGCUCGUGGCUGGAAGUCAGGCUGGCGUCCAGGGAGAUAAGUGCCUCCCCACAGAUGAAGUUGAAGGGGGCAGGAAAGGUUGGUCACCUGGCAGGAGGCAGUUGGAGCCUGUACCCCAGAAGAAAGAAGUCAGGGAGAUGCUUGCUAACGGAGGUCUCCUGCCACACUGUGCCGGCUCAUCUUCCUCAGCUGCAGUGUGUGGGAAGCCAGCUGCCAUAUUGUGAGCUGCCCUAUGGAGGGGUCUACAUGGCAAGGAACCGAGGGAAACCUCCAACCAAUAGCCAGGGAGGAACUGAAUCCUGCCAACAACCAUGCAAGGGAACUUAGAAGUGGAUGCUUCCCCAGUUGAGUCUUUCAAGGAGACCACAUCUCUGGCUGACAGCUUGACUGCAACCUCAUGAGAUACCUUAAGCCAGAGGCACCCAGCUAUACUGUGCCAGGAUUUCUGAUCCCCAGAAACUGUGUACAGCUUGCACUCAAAUCCUUGACUCAGGUCUGUUUCUGGAAGCUGACCAAACUAAGAAAACACACAAAGAGAUGGAGGAGGGUUGGAGAGAGGGAGAGAGGAAGGAACUUCCUGAAGUCCUGCUCUGGGCUGGUAACACUUGUUCUGAGUCUAGUGCUCAGAGCACCACUUCCCACCGGGGGAGUCACUAGGGCAAGCAGCACAGGGAGUGCUAGGUUCCAAGACCUGGCUUCGAGUUUCCCCUCUCCCUGUUGUGGAAUGGUGGUUAAGGGAUUUAAUACUUUAGGGACUAAGUUUUAUCAACUGAAGAGCUCUACCAACCAACUCAAGUGUAUGGAGAUUCAAUGAGCUUACAGUCCAUGAUCAGGGCUUUGGAAACAUGUGACUUCCUGCAAAUGUGAGUCAUCAUUAUGGGCGAAGUGGCCGUGGGUCCCCCAGUCACUAAUUGCAUGACUGGCCGUGUUACCCUCAAAUGGCAUGUGACUUUGAAGCUGAGUCACUGGGCUUCCAGGCAGGAUGGGCUCCUGAGCAAGUUCUCUUCUCUGCCUGGAAGGAUGGCCGAGUGCUCUUGGAAAGGAGGCGGGCAAGCAGAAACUCGGCCUGCCCCAGCAUGAGCAGGCAUCCGCUGCUCUCUCAAACACAAGUAUUGUGUCCCAAGGUCUUUUAAAAAUAAUCCUAUUUUGAGAUGUUUAUAUACAACCCGGGGAAAGAAUGGGGGUUUUAUGCCCAUAAUGGAAAGUGCUCUUAAACAAAAAGGCACCAUUUGACAUCCAUUUCCAAGGAUGGUCUGUGGGCUGUUGCAAUUGGAGCUAGGCCUGGGUGCAGUUUGAUGCGAUGGCUGGACUUUUCUGGAGGGUUUUGUUGGGCCUUGUCAAUCAGGCUUGCCAGGGGGAAGGAGUGUGCUUUGUGCUGAAGACUCCAGUUAGCAGGGUUCUGGGGGUGUCUUUGUAGCCCUGCUUAUCACCCUUGUCCUUGGGGCCUGGCUUCUUUCAGUUGAUGGAAGAUCCACUUUAAGAAAAUCGCUUUUUCUUUGUAAUCAAGGCUUGCAAUAUGUUUCUUUAGAUUCUUCAGCAUCCCUUUUAAUCCUUGUCAAGAGCCUAUGGGGCAGGAGUGGGAAUGGGUUUGAGUGCAGCAUGCGACACACACACACACACAUCACAGGUCACCCUCAACUAUUGCCUGGUUGGGUCUAUCACCACAAACAUAUCAUCUCAGGGCAUGCCUGUCCAGUAUGUCCCCAUUACUGUGGUAAGCGUGUACUAGAGAAGGCACUUGAAGAGAGGUGAGGAAUGGAUAUAUUUUGGAGUGCUGACUAUAUGCCAGGGGACUUUAUCUCUAUUAUUUCAUUUGUCUCCACACAGCUCUGAGAGACAAGUACCAUGAUAAUUUCCAUUUUACCCAUGAGAAAACAGAAGCUCAGGGAGAUGAAACUAGCUGACCAGGGCCACAGAGCUAGUAAGUGCUGGAAAAGGCAUUCAAACUGUUGUUGUUCCAUACUAUGAUUGUACCUCCCAAAUGAUUCCAUAGCUAUAGCAGAUAUUACUAGGGAAACAUGUUUAUUUCUACUGUGAUUACCCCCUUUAUAUUCUUCCCCCUAUGUACCGACAAUGUCGUAUCAUAUCCUUCAGAAGUGUGAUCGUUGUUCAACAAAUAUUCACAUCCCACAUGCCUCCCUGGGAGGCACACAGGUCUUUGAUGAUUUGGGCUUGGCCACGCUCUUUGCUUUGGCUAAUGGGAUGUUAGUAGAUGUGAUAUAAGCUGAGGCUUGGGAUGUGCUUACCCAGGUGGUCUUGCCUUCAUGUGCUCCUCCCUUUCAUCUGAAAAGAAUGUGCUGCAGGCAGCUGCUGGCCCAAACAGGAUGGGAAACACAGAAAGUGGAUUGGGAUUGAACUCAAGCUUGGAGCCAAGCUUGGCUGAAUACUGACUAAAUCAGCUGGCCGCAGCUGACACUGCAAAUGAGUGAACAAGAGAAAAAUGCCUAUUGCUAUUUGCCUGAUACUUGUAGCUAUUUGUUAUGUGGCAAAAGCUGACUAAUACAAGAAGCAAAACAUGAGAAAUCAAAAAACUAAAUUCAGGUUCAAAAGUGUAUUCCCUUAUAUUCAUCUGUUCAUCCAAACAAUUAUUGUGCUACUAUGUACUAGGCACUUACAACCAUUGGUGCAUUCAUUUCUACAGCUGCUGUAAUAAAUUACAACAAAUUUAGCAGCUUAAAAGAACCCACAUAUAUUAUCUCACAGUUAUGUAGGUCAGAAGUCAGGUACAGCAUGGCUCAGCUGGGUUCUCUGCCUAGAGUUUAACAGGGCCAAAAUCAAGAUGUCGACAGGACUGUGGUUCUUUCUGGAGGCUCUGAGGAUAAAUCCAAGUCCAAUGUCAUUCAGGGUGUCACCAAAUUCAGUUCCUGGCAGCUGUAGGAGUUAGAUCCCUGUUUCCUUGCUAGCUGUCAGCUAAGGAUUGGUCCUUGCUCCUAGAAGCUAGGGCAUUCCUUCUCCUGUUUUCCCAGAAAGGGUGGCUGGAGUCCCUUUCAUGCUUUGAAUUUCUCCAGCUUCCCCUCCUGCUCUGUCUCUCGUAGUGGUGGGGCUUAAUAAGACUGAUGUGCACCCUGCCCUCAUGGAGCUUACAUUCUCUAGAAGAAGAGACAGACAAUAAACAUCCCAAAUAAAAGGAUAAAUACAGCUGCGUUGAGUGCUGGGCAGGAAAUAGGAACAUGUGAUCGAAUUGAGGAAGGAGUUUCUGGAGGUGGGUAUGUUGACUCUGCUGGUCAUCUUGAAGAUUCCAUGAAACAUGAAGGAUAUGCUUGGUCAGCUUGUGAGUUCACUAACAGAUGAAGACACAGAGAUCCCAAUCUGGUCUUAGGGUUCCUAAUGCCAUGUUUAGCUGUGUGUAUCUGCCAUUAACUGUCAGUCCUCAUCUGGGCCUAUAUAGUGAGUGCUACAGAAAUGGCAUUGGAUUUAGAACCAGAGGAAUUAUAUUCAAGUCAGUUCUUCUUUGCUCAUGAGCUUUGUGUUCUUGAGAGAAGCAAGAAAACGUGUGGAGCCUCAGUUCCCUUACCUGAAACAUGUGGAUAUGACCCCUUCCCUGCCUACCUCUGAAAGUGCCUUGUGAUGCUAUAAAUAUGAGAAGAGGUAAGAAAAAUGAAAAAGUGUCCAUGUGUUGUGGCUGACACUUUCUAGAGCAAGGUGACAUUGGGAGGAUGCAUGGUUGAGCACAUCCAGGAGAUUGCUAGAUUUAAGAUGACUGUGCUGUUCUGGGAGGGGGGGAGCUGAUUUCCCCCACCCCUUUUGGAGAGCAACUGAGCUCACCCCAUUCUGUUGUCUGCAGUAUGACACACAAGGCAUCUUGUGACCUAGAGGAGACUUUUCCUCCCCUAACAACUUCAAGAGGCCUUCUACAAAGCAGAAUGGAGUUGGCAUUGGUUAGCACAAAAGUCACUCCCCAACUCUGCUUAUCUUUCUUCUCCAGGGCGACCAAAGGCCCAGCCCCAUUCAUCACUCCACACUGUAGGCUGGUGGCCUGAGUGGUACGUGGAAAAAUACGUAGGACUUGGAGCAAAAGGAGGCUGGAAUGCCAUGGAUUCAGAGGUGGCUGUUUCCUCCUAGGUAGACUCAAAAGAGCACUGGCUGAGGAGUCCACAGGUAAGGAGACAGUGUUGCAUCAUGCCCUAGACCUUGGGCUCUUGAACCGGCUGCCUGGAUUCAGCUCCAGCUUAUCAGCUCUGUGACUUCAAGUAAAUCUUUAAUUUUGUUGAGUCUCAACUAUAAAACAAGCACAAGAAUGGGGCCUACCUCUUUGGGCUGGUGAGACAAUGCAUGAAAGAUGCGGCAUGCAGCAGAUGUGCUGGGCCCCUUCUGCUGUUCUCUUGACCCUCGUGUCACCUGCAGGCUUUCUGGGCGGUUCCAGCAUGCCCAUGGCCGCCUCCUUCAAGUGCCUGUGAUUCUCUCUGCCCAAGGGCUUCUCUAGCUACAUGAGGGUGUUUAGUCCCAACAUGGGGCAUUUAGAAGUGCCAGGGAGUUCAUGUCUCAGGAGUGGCUCUCAGCCAAUGAGGGAUUAGAGUUGUGGAGAGACCUCACCUCCAGUGGAAUAAUUCUUAGGUGUGUAACAGAGUUCCCCAAAGUGCCCCCAGUGUGGACCCAGUCCCAGUUGCCUUCAGAGGUGACCUACUUAUUAUUGCAUGUUUUACUGGCUUUCUGCCCUUCCCUGUCUAUUUCCUUACUCUCUCACUGUGCUUCCUGGAACCACCUCUCAAAUAAACUACCUGCGCUCAAAUCCUUGACUCAGGGUCUGCUUUGGAUGAACCCAACCAAGAUGAGCUUUGCGCAAACCUGGCACUUAGUAAGUACUCGGUAAGCAAAAAUUACUAUUAGACUAUUGUGACUCCGGCUGCCACCCUGGACAGCAUCCCUGUGACAUCCAGGGGAUGCCCUAUCCCUUGUCUUGGUCUGGGCCCAGCUUUGGAGAGCACGAGUUCUGGCUGUGAGUUAGAGGUGGCUGGAAGAGAGCAUCACCCCUUCCUGGGUUUGGCUUAGCUCCUGCCCAUCACAUCUCAGGGAGCUCAGCCAGCAUUGGCAAGCGUGUGUGUCUUUCCUGCCGGACAGAGCUCAGGCCUGGGACUAAAAGAAUCUACCAGCUGCUUAUAUGGCUAAACCUCAGUUUCCUUCUCUGUACAAUGAGGGUAAUUAAGAGCCUAGAAUUGUUGUCUUAGUCUAUUUUGGCUGCUAUAACAAAGUACCACAGACUGCUUGGCUUACUAAACAACAGACACUUAUGUCUCAUAGUUUUGGAAGCUGGGAUGCCCAGGAUCAGCAUGGUGCUAGCAUGGUCAGGUUCUGGUAGGGACUCUCUUUGGGUUGCAGACUUCUGACUUUUUGCUGUAUCAUCACAUGGUUGAAGGGACAAGGGAGCUCUGUGGUGCCUCUUUUCUAAGGGCACUGAUCCCAUUCAGGAAGGCUCCACCUUCUUGACUUGGGCACCUCUCCAAGUCUUCACCUCCUAAUUCUGUCAUAUUGCAGGUUAGGAUUUCAAUGUAUGAAUUUUCGGGAGAUGCAAACGCUCAGAUCAUAGCAGUUG